GGCAAAUUCUUCGGCGGUAAACGAUUGUCGGAUGUCUUGGCUCGUUCAGCGUGACAGGGUCUAGGUCUGCUGAUUCAGUACCACUAGGUCUUGGCUCGUUCAGCGUGACAGGGUCUAGGUCUGCUGAUUCAGUACCACUAGGUCUUGGCUCGUUCAGCGUGACAGGGUCUAGGUCUGCUGAUUCAGUACCACUAGGUCUUGGCUCGUUCAGCGUGACAGGGUCUAGGUCUGCUGAUUCAGUACCACUAGGUCUUGGCUCGUUCAGCGUGACAGGGUCUAGGUCUGCUGAUUCAGUACCACUAGGUCUUGGCUCGUUCAGCGUGACAGGGUCUAGGUCUGCUGAUUCAGUACCACUAGGUCUUGGCUCGUUCAGCGUGACAGGGUCUAGUUCUGCUGAUUCAGUACCACUAGGUCUUGGCUCGUUCAGCGUGACAGGGUCUAGGUCUGCUGAUUCAGUACCACUAGGUCUUGGCUCGUUCAGCGUGACAGGGUCUAGGUCUGCUGAUUCAGUACCACUAGGUCUUGGCUCGUUCAGCGUGACAGGGUCUAGGUCUGCUGAUUCAGUACCACUAGGUCUUGGCUCGUUCAGCGUGACAGGGUCUAGGUCUGCUGAUUCAGUACCGCUAGGUCUUGGCUCGUUCAGCGUGACAGGGUCUAGGUCUGCUGAUUCAGUACCACUAGGUCUUGGCUCGUUCAGCGUGACAGGGUCUAGGUCUGCUGAUUUAGUACCA